UACGGAGGAUCCGAGCGUUAUCCGGAUUUAUUGGGUUUAAAGGGUGCGUAGGCGGUUUGAUAAGUUAGAGGUGAAAUGUCGGGGCUCAACCCCGAAACUGCCUCUAAUACUGUUGGACUAGAGAAUAGUUGCGGUAGGCGGAAUGUAUGGUGUAGCGGUGAGAUGCUUAGAGAUCAUACAGAACACCGAUUGCGAAGGCAGCUUACCAAACUAUAUCUGACGUUGAGGCACGAAAGCGUGGGUAGCAAACAGG
rnacentral:rRNA from 1 species